CCUACGGGGCGCAGCAGUGGGGAAUAUUGGACAAUGGGCGAAAGCCUGAUCCAGCCAUGCCGCGUGUGUGAAGAAGGCCUUCGGGUUGUAAAGCACUUUCAGUGGGGAAGAAAGCCUUGGGGCUAAUACCCUCGAGGAAGGACUUCACCCACAGAAGAAGCACCGGCUAACUCCGUGCCAGCAGCCGCGGUAAUACGGAGGGUGCGAGCGUUAAUCGGAAUUACUGGGCGUAAAGCGCGCGUAGGCGGUCUGAUAAGCCGGUUGUGAAAGCCCCGGGCUCAACCUGGGAACGGCAUCCGGAACUGUCAGGCUAGAGUGCAGGAGAGGAAGGUAGAAUUCCCGGUGUAGCGGUGAAAUGCGUAGAGAUCGGGAGGAAUACCAGUGGCGAAGGCGGCCUUCUGGACUGACACUGACGCUGAGGUGCGAAAGCGUGGGUAGCAAACAGGAUUAGAUACCCCAGUAGUC
rnacentral:rRNA from 1 species